rnacentral:lncRNA from 1 species
GACCGUGGGCAAGAGUAGCAAGAUGCUGCCACACACGGACCACAGAAUGAGACGUAUCCUACAAGAUGGCCGAGUCUUCAUUGGCACCUUCAAGGCUUUUGACAAGCAUAUGAAUAUGAUCCCCUGUGAUUGUGAUGAGUUCAGAAAGAUGAAACUAAAGAAUGCGAAGCAACCAGCACGUGAAGAAAAGCGGGUUUCGGGCCCCUCCGCUUCU